UCCCUGGUGGUCCAGUGGUUAGGACUCUAUGCUCUCAGUGCAGGGGGCCUGGGUUCAAUCCCUGGUCGGGGAA
rnacentral:tRNA from 1 species